rnacentral:rRNA from 1 species
ACUCCUACGGGAGGCAGCAGUGGGGAAUAUUGCACAAUGGGCGCAAGCCUGAUGCAGCGACGCCGCGUGGGGGAUGAAGGCCUUCGGGUUGUAAACUCCUUUCGCUAGGGACGAAGCUUUUUUGUGACGGUACCUAGAUAAGAAGCACCGGCUAACUACGUGCCAGCAGCCGCGGUAAUACGUAGGGUGCGAGCGUUGUCCGGAAUUACUGGGCGUAAAGGGCUCGUAGGUGGUUUGUCGCGUCGUCUGUGAAAUUCUGGGGCUUAACUCCGGGCGUGCAGGCGAUACGGGCAUAACUUGAGUGCUGUAGGGGUAACUGGAAUUCCUGGUGUAGCGGUGAAAUGCGCAGAUAUCAGGAGGAACACCGAUGGCGAAGGCAGGUUACUGGGCAGUUACUGACGCUGAGGAGCGAAAGCAUGGGUAGCGAACAGGAUUAGAUACCCCAGUAGUCCCAUGAU